ensembl:snoRNA
AGGUCAUUUCAAAGAGGGCUUGUAUGACUAUGAAACCAGAGGCUCUAAAUGCUACAUGAUCAGAGACUGAAGUUCUCCAUAGGAUGCCAUAAUCAUUCAAUAGUGCUGUUUUCCUGAGGAGGUAUAAGA